GAUGAACGCUGGCGGCGUGCUUAACACAUGCAAGUCGAACGGACAGGCCCAAGCUUGCUUGGGUCCUCGAGUGGCGAACGGGUGAGUAACACGUGGGUGAUCUGCCCUUCACUUCGGGAUAUGCCUGGGAAACUGGGUCUAUUACCGGAUAGGAUCUCUUCUUGGUUGUUGUGCUGGAAAGUUUUUUCGUUGUGGGAUUAGCUCUCGGCGUAUCAGCUUAUCGGUGGGGUGAUGGUCUACCAAGGCGUUGGCGGGUAGCCGGCCAGAGACGGUGAACAGCAACAUUGAGACUGAGAGGAGGCAGAGGCACCGAAGGGAAGGAGAAGGGGGAAAGAGUGAACGAGCGGAGCAGGCCUGAUGAAGAGGCGCCGCGGGGGGGAUAACGGUGUUCGGGUUGGAAACCAAAUUUGCUAGGAACGAAGCAGUUUGUGACGGUACCUGGAGAAGAAGCACCGGCUAACUACGUG
rnacentral:rRNA from 1 species